CCUGCAGAAAGGAAGUGACAGUGAAGACAAUUCAGCAUGGUGUGCAAAUAUGUAAAGUGGCACCCUCACACACCCCUAAUAAAUUGUUUGGUUCUCCUUUAUAAACAUCAGUUGAAUUGAAUGCAUCAUGUUAAUUUUGCAACCGGUAAAUAAUUACAAUUAUCCAGUACAGACACCAGGAAACAUGACUAGGUGCUUACAGGAUAACAGGUAAUGCGACAACAAUCAUGAAGCGCAUCAAUUGUCAUUACAAUGAACAGAAUAAGGCAUGUAACAAUGAACAAUAAGAUAAUCUGGUUUAUCGAGUCACUAACUCUAGAUAAUGUUACAUGUUAAAAUUGUUACAAGUAUUUAUAGUAUAGAUGCAUGAUCAAACCAUGUAGGGACCAAUCCAGCACAGAGCAAAAUAUCCAUUAAUCGUUCAUUUAUCUGCAUAACAAACGAUUCACAGCCUACCACUAAAGGCUCAAAAAAACCAUCAUCAGUCAUAAAGCCAGACUGAGACUUAAUCAGGAAACACAUAAAACUGAAAGGACUAGUCACCAGCUCACCAGCAAGGAUAAAAUGUCAACUACUGCGCAUUCGGGCGAAAAAGACAAUAUCAACUGACAUGUCACAUUCACACCGUGCAACCUAAAUGAAAAAUGACUCCACUUGGUUUUUAAUCUCAUGAACUUUCCAUCACCUCAUGCUAGGAACUACAGAAGCGUUGAACUCCAUAAAGAAUUUGCUAUCGGACAAGCUAGAUUAAGCAGCAUUCAUUUUCAUAAUGGUUCAUUGAAAAGACCUUUUUCCUGCACAUAUUAGGCCCUACAGCAUGAUGGCUCUAAAUGGCCUCAAUAAAAGUUAGUUUUCUUAACGAAGAAUAAUAUGGAAAUCUGAUAUCCUCUUCUUAAAGCUUACACAAUGCAAUCCAAAUCCAAAACAAUUGGACUUUUGGGAUGUCCAUGCAAGCAAUGAGAUGCAACAAUAUAGGAGCCAAGACAGACCUCACACUGAAGAAUUAAAACAGUAAAGCAGAUAGAUGGUCCUAAUGCAGAAUUUACACAAUAGGUAUAGUAUAAGAGCAAAGAAUUUUAAAGACACAACAGAAGCACAGUAUCCUAAGACUGCUAGGCACUAGACGAGUGGCUGCAUAACAUGUAGCAUUAAAUCACUGCCUAGGCAGAUUACGGAGCAGGAAGCUACGGCAAUCAGGCGCAAGAUGGGAAAGUGACACAAAAUCACAGGCAAAUGACACCAUAAACCAUACCAGGGGCCACCACCCACCAAUAAAAACCAAUAAUAGAUCAAUGUCCUUGAAAAAUUUAGCCAGUUUUGUUUCAUAGAACCGAAUGUCUGUUAUUUCGCAGCCUAGUUAGUGAAAUAAACAGUAUAUCAUCGGCGUAACAUUAGGAGCAAGACAAAUAACAAACUCAAGCCUAGGUCCUAGAUAAUUUGGACAUAAGUUCUUCUAAUCUAACUAAAGGGUACCAUUGAGUGAACAUCCUACCAGAUACCAGGUUAAAGAUCUUUCUGAAACCAUGCAAUACGCGGAGACAUGCAUGUGUCAAAACUUUCUAUAAUAAGUGAUCAGUUAACUUGGUAACAUAUUUUUUACCCAAAAAAAAUAUUGAAGAGUUAAAUCUCUCAGUGUAAGUACAUGAUAAUUUGCAUUGGUUGAAAAAGUUUGUUGAGCAUGGUGGAAUUGGAAAACCUAAUGGUCGACAUGACAUGUGGAGAAAUUUAUUGGAGAAGACGUGCUACAUGCAUGACUAUUUGACAAGUAACCGGUUCUGUCAAUUUAAGUGCUUUUCAGCAUGUUUUCAAAUUCUGGAUAAACCAAUGAUCUGAAAAUAAUAUCUCUUCUAUCCUCAAUCAGCAACUAGAUGCACCAGCAACAUAAUUAGAGUACGUUUGGGCAGGUCGAUUUCAUAAAUUCAAUAUAUGAGAAUGCUUUUAGAAAGACAAGAUAAAUUCCAGGCGACAUAAUGAGACAAAAACAUCUGAGCACAAUCUCAAGAAAACCGACCUGAUAGUACUAUAACUGUUCAAAAACUUGGUAUCACUCAUGUGAGUGAAAGAAUGCCAGACAGAAGAAGAGGACAGAUAUCUGAUGCCUCAUGUACUGGGAAGGGAACACUUAGGGAGAAAUGGCAAUCAAGGAAGCAGUACCUGAGGGCGAGGUCUUUGAGAUGGUGACUGUGAGGCAAUAUACUGCAAGAUUUCAUAGGACCUUGUCUGGACAUAGUUUGCAACCCUCUGGAAGUAAACAACUGCCAUGUCACCGGCUCUUGUCCUAAACUCAAGCAGAUUUCGAUCAAUCUCAGUUUCAUGUUUUGCGA